rnacentral:rRNA from 1 species
GACGAACGCUGGCGGCGUGCCUAAUACAUGCAAGUCGAGCGAAGUUUUUCUGGUGCUUGCCCUAGAAAAACUUAGCGGCGAACGGGUGAGUAACACGUAAAGAACCUGCCUCAUAGACUGGGACAACUAUUGGAAACGAUAGCUAAUACCGGAUAACAGUAUUUCUCGCAUGAGAGAUAUUUAAAAGUUGGUUAUGCUAACACUAUGAGAUGGCUUUGCGGUGCAUUAGCUAGUUGGUGGGGUAAAGGCCCACCAAGGCGACGAUGCAUAGCCGACCUGAGAGGGUGAUCGGCCACACUGGGACUGAGACACGGCCCAGACUCCUACGGGAGGCAGCAGUAGGGAAUCUUCCGCAAUGGGCGAAAGCCUGACGGAGCAACGCCGCGUGAGUGAAGAAGGAUUUCGGUUCGUAAAGCUCUGUUGUUAGGGAAGAAUGGAUAUGUAGUAACUAUACAUGUAAGAGACGGUACCUAACCAGAAAGCCACGGCUAACUACGUG